CCUACGGGUGGCAGCAGUAGGGAAUAUUGCUCAAUGGAGGCAACCCUGAAGCAGCCACGCCGCGUGGAGGAUGAAGGUUUUCGGAUUGUAAAACUCUUUUGUUACAGAAGCUAAUGACGGUAUCUUACGAAUUAGCACCGGCUCACUCCGUGCCAGCAGCCGCGGUAAUACGGCAGGUGCAAGCGUUACUCGGAAUCAUUGGGCGUAAAGCGGGCGUAGGCGGGUUAGCAAGUCAGAUGUGAAAUCCUAUGGCUUAAUCAUAGAACUGCAUGUGAAACUGUUGUUCUAGAGUAUGGUAGAGGUAGGUGGAAUUCUUGGUGUAGGGGUAAAAUCCGUAGAGAUC
rnacentral:rRNA from 1 species